rnacentral:rRNA from 1 species
UACGUAGGGGGCUAGCGUUGUCCGGAAUCAUUGGGCGUAAAGAGCGUGUAGGCGGCCCGGUAAGUCCGCUGUGAAAGUCGGGGGCUCAACCCUCGAAUGCCGGUGGAUACUGUCGGGCUAGAGUGCGGAAGAGGCGAGUGGAAUUCCUGGUGUAGCGGUGAAAUGCGCAGAUAUCAGGAGGAACACCCAUUGCGAAGGCAGCUCGCUGGGACGUUACUGACGCUGAGACGCGAAAGCGUGGGGAGCGAACAGG